CCCUAUGGGGUGCACCAGGCAGUAAAAGAUGGUACCAUCGAAGGUCCUGCAAAAAUCAAGCUGUAUCCGUAUCCGACAAAGUCCGGUGUCAGCCCCACGACAGCGAUUGGGCCUACGGGUAUCAUUAUCAUGACCAAGGAUCCGGCGAAACAGAAGGCUGCAGCUGCUUUCAUGGAAUAUUCAGUGCAGGCGAAAUGGCAUUCUGCUGCAGUAAAGGCAGCAGGGCAGCUUCCGGCAACGAAGAGCGUUGCUGAUAUGAACAUCUAUAAGGGGGACGAGCUUGGCGAGGUGAUGCAGGACAUCGUUGCAAAGUACCCGGCAGGCAACUUUGGCCUUUCGGAUCCCAAUUACAACAAGAUCAGAAAGGAAUUGGCGGGGGAGC
rnacentral:rRNA from 1 species